rnacentral:rRNA from 1 species
GUUAAAACUUUCGAUAAUAGAUCUCUUGGUUCUGGCAUCGAUGAAGAACGCAGCGAAAUGCGAUAAGUAAUGUGAAUUGCAGAAUUCAGUGAAUCAUCGAAUCUUUGAACGCACAUUGCGCCCAUUAGUAUUCUAGUGGGCAUGCCUGUUCGAGCGUCAUUUCAACCCUCAAGCCCCAGUUGCUUGGUGUUGGGAGCCUGCACCCCCCCGGGGGCUGCAGCUCCUCAAAGCUAUUGGCGGAGUCGUAUUGGCCCUAAGCGUAGUAAUUUUUUCCUCGCUUCUAGUGGUUCCAGUGCUGGCGUCCAGCCGUAAAACCCCUAAUUUUAUAGUGGUUGACCUCGGAUCAGGUAGGAAUACCCGCUGAACUUAAGCAUAUCAAUAAGCGGAGGAAAAGAAACCAACAGGGAUUGCCCUAGUAACGGCGAGUGAAGCGGCAACAGCUCAAAUUUGAAAUCUGGCUUUCGGGUCCGAGUUGUAAUUUGUAGAGGAUGCUUUUGGUGCAGUGCCUUCCGAGUUCCUUGGAACAGGACGCCUUAGAGGGUGAGAGCCCCGUACGGUUGGACACUAAGCCUCUGUAAAGCUCCUUCGACGAGUCGAGUAGUUUGGGAAUGCUGCUCUAAAUGGGAGGUAAAUUUCUUCUAAAGCUAAAUACCGGCCAGAGACCGAUAGCGCACAAGUAGAGUGAUCGAAAGAUGAAAAGUACUUUGAAAAGAGGGUUAAAUAGCACGUGAAAUUGUUGAAAGGGAAGCGUUUAUGACCAGACCUUUGUCUAGCGGAUCAUCCGGUGUUCUUCACCGGUGCACUUCGCUAGGCUCAGGCCAGCAUCGGUUUCUGCAGCGGGAUAAAGACCGUGGGAACGUAGCUCUCUCCGGGGAGUGUUAUAGCCCUAGGUGUAAUACC